GCCGCCCGUACCCCAAACCGACUCAGGUGAUCAGGUAGAGAAUACCGAGGCGAUCGAGACAACCAUGGUUAAGGAACUCGGCAAAAUGCCCCCGUAACUUCGGGAGAAGGGGGGCCCCAACCUUGAGCACCACGUGCUGGUGUGAGGGGAUCGGGGCCGCAGAGACCAGGGGGAAGCGACUGUUUAUCAAAAACACAGGGCUCUGCAAAAUCGUAAGAUGAAGUAUAGGGCCUGACACCUGCCCGGUGCUGGAAGGUUAAGAGGGGAUGUCAUCGCAAGAGAAGCAUUGAAUCGAAGCCCCAGUAAACGGCGGCCGUAACAAUAACGGUCCUAAGGUAGCGAAA
rnacentral:rRNA from 1 species